AUUGAACGCUGGCGGCAUGCCUUACGCAUGCAAGUCGAACGGUAGCGGGCCUUCGGGUGCCGACGAGUGGCGAACGGGUGAGUAAUGUAUCGGAACGUACCUUUCAGUGGGGGAUAACGUAGCGAAAGUUACGCUAAUACCGCAUAUUCUGUGCGCAGGAAAGCAGGGGACCUUCGGGCCUUGCGCUGAUUGAGCGGCCGAUAUCAGAUUAGCUAGUUGGUGAGGUAAAGGCUCACCAAGGCAACGAGCUGUAGCGGGUCUGAGAGGAUGAUCCGCCACACUGGAACUGAGACACGGUCCAGACUCCUACGGGAGGCAGCAGUGGGGAAUUUUGGACAAUGGGGGCAACCCUGAUCCAGCCAUGCCGCGUGAGUGAAGAAGGCCUUCGGGUUGUAAAGCUCUUUCGGCCGGGAAGAAAUCGUAUCAGCUAAUACCUGGUGCGGAUGACGGUACCGGCAUAAGAAGCACCGGCUAACUACGUGCCAGCCGCCGCGGUAACAC
rnacentral:rRNA from 1 species